rnacentral:tRNA from 2 species
GGCCCGCUAGCUCAAUUGGUAGAGCAACUGACUCUUAAUCAGUGGGUUACAGGUUCAAGUCCUGUGCGGGUCA